rnacentral:lncRNA from 1 species
CCCGCCGCUCACACGGGCUGCGGCCGAGUUCAAUUCAGAACUGCGGCGAGUCCGGCUUCCCCGGGAGCCGGGGCCGCCCGGGCGCCGGGGGCCGAGUUCCGAGGGACUUUGCAAAAGAGGCGCUCGCCUCCCUCCCUGCGCGCCUCCUCCGGGAGCACGGGGAUGCUUGCACCUGCGCCGCCGGGGACCGCCUGGCCAGAGCCGCUGCUCCGCCCCCGGGGACGGGGGGACCUGCGCCCAGGAGCGCUUGGAAAUUGGAUCUUGGCAAAAUUAGCAACGAAUCCAUAAAGGAGACUAAAAGCCAUUUGAUCUCCCUCUUCAAUGACAGUCCCACAAAAGUCGAAGAAAUACAUUAUGUCUCCAAUGAAGAGAGCAGUUGUACCCUAAAAUUAGGACAUGAUUAAGGGGUUUGGGUAGUAUGCCCGUGAUGUACUUUUCAUUGUCAAGGAAUCUCAUCUACACAAAAGAGGCGUGGGUGCACCAUCCAGCAGGUGGGGACUGCUGUCAUCUGACAUAUGUACUGAGCUCUGGGGUG